rnacentral:rRNA from 1 species
AGAGUUUGAUCAUGGCUCAGAUUGAACGCUGGCGGCAGGCCUAACACAUGCAAGUCGAACGGUAACAGGAAGAAGCUUGCUUCUUUGCUGACGAGUGGCGGACGGGUGAGUAAUGUCUGGGAAACUGCCUGAUGGAGGGGGAUAACUACUGGAAACGGUAGCUAAUACCGCAUAACGUCGCAAGACCAAAGAGGGGGACCUUCGGGCCUCUUGCCAUCGGAUGUGCCCAGAUGGGAUUAGCUUGUUGGUGGGGUAACGGCUCACCAAGGCGACGAUCCCUAGCUGGUCUGAGAGGAUGACCAGCCACACUGGAACUGAGACACGGUCCAGACUCCUACGGGAGGCAGCAGUGGGGAAUAUUGCACAAUGGGCGCAAGCCUGAUGCAGCGACGCCGCGUGCGGGAUGACGGCCUUCGGGUUGUAAACCGCUUUUGACUGGGAGCAAGCCCUUCGGGGUGAGUGUACCUUUCGAAUAAGCACCGGCUAACUACGUGCCAGCAGCCGCGGUAAUACGUAGGGGGCAAGCGUUAUCCGGAUUUACUGGGUGUAAAGGGAGCGUAGACGGCAUGGCAAGCCAGAUGUGAAAGCCCGGGGCUCAACCCCGGGACUGCAUUUGGAACUGUCAGGCUAGAGUGUCGGAGAGGAAAGCGGAAUUCCUAGUGUAGCGGUGAAAUGCGUAGAUAUUAGGAGGAACACCAGUGGCGAAGGCGGCUUUCUGGACGAUGACUGACGUUGAGGCUCGAAAGCGUGGGGAGCAAACAGGAUUAGAUACCCUGGUAGUCCACGCCGUAAACGAUGUCGACUUGGAGGUUGUGCCCUUGAGGCGUGGCUUCCGGAGCUAACGCGUUAAGUCGACCGCCUGGGGAGUACGGCCGCAAGGUUAAAACUCAAAUGAAUUGACGGGGGCCCGCACAAGCGGUGGAGCAUGUGGUUUAAUUCGAUGCAACGCGAAGAACCUUACCUGGUCUUGACAUCCACGGAAGUUUUCAGAGAUGAGAAUGUGCCUUCGGGAACCGUGAGACAGGUGCUGCAUGGCUGUCGUCAGCUCGUGUUGUGAAAUGUUGGGUUAAGUCCCGCAACGAGCGCAACCCUUAUCCUUUGUUGCCAGCGGUCCGGCCGGGAACUCAAAGGAGACUGCCAGUGAUAAACUGGAGGAAGGUGGGGAUGACGUCAAGUCAUCAUGGCCCUUACGACCAGGGCUACACACGUGCUACAAUGGCGCAUACAAAGAGAAGCGACCUCGCGAGAGCAAGCGGACCUCAUAAAGUGCGUCGUAGUCCGGAUUGGAGUCUGCAACUCGACUCCAUGAAGUCGGAAUCGCUAGUAAUCGUGGAUCAGAAUGCCACGGUGAAUACGUUCCCGGGCCUUGUACACACCGCCCGUCACACCAUGGGAGUGGGUUGCAAAAGAAGUAGGUAGCUUAACCUUCGGGAGGGCGCUUACCACUUUGUGAUUCAUGACUGGGGUGAAGUCGUAACAAGGUAACCGUAGGGGAACCUGCGGUUG